GAACCCCUGUUUUAAGGACUGUGUUUAGAAAACUAUGUUGACCCAGUGCGUUUAUUGUCUCGACCAAGGUUUACAUGUAGUUUAAAGGGAUCCUGCCACCUGCUAGGAGCGCAAAUAAUGAUAUAAGAAAUAAUUGCUAAUAAGGCCUCUGUAGCCAUGGCUACUUCUGACGUGAAACCAAAAUCAAUAAGUCGUGCCAAGAAAUGGUCAGAGGAGAUAGAAAAUCUGUACAGAUUUCAGCAAGCAGGCUACCGGGAUGAAAUCGAAUACAAACAAGUGAAACAAGUUGCCAUGGUAGACCGUUGGCCAGAGACAGGAUAUGUGAAGAAACUUCAGCGGAGGGACAAUACUUUCUACUACUACAAUAAACAGAGAGAGUGCGAGGACAAGGAGGUCCACAAAGUGAAGAUUUACGCGUACUGACCUUUUCAUUUCUUCGGCGUUGCAAUGCUACUUUAAGAAUUCGUUGUUUACAUUCUUCCAUCAUGUAAAUGUCAUUUUAAAAAAC
rnacentral:lncRNA from 1 species